UUAACCCAAUUUUGUAUGCAGUUGGAACAGCGCCCCUAGCGGCAAACUUAGGCAAACGUUACAACUCCAUACAAAUUUGCGUUA
rnacentral:pre_miRNA from 1 species